CAUCAGGAAGUGGCCCUGUUGAACUCGAGCACAGAGCUCAACUUCUCAAUGCAGGCGAAGAUAUCAUCCUUGUUAACACUCUGUCUCCAUGGUGUGGCUGCAG